rnacentral:hammerhead_ribozyme from 1 species
AUCCAACUGACGAAUCCUAAAUAGGACAAAAUAUACGUCUUAGAU